GGGGGACCAUCUCCUAAGGCUAAAUACUACCUGGCAACCGAUAGUGAACAAGUACCGUGAGGGAAAGGUGAAAAGUACUCCGGGAGGAGAGUGAAAUAGUACCUGAAACCGUGUGCUUACAAGCUGUGGAAGGACCAUGGAUAAGUGGGAGGGGUAACUCUCUUGUUUAUCCGGUCUGACUGCGUGCCUUUUGUAUAAUGAGUCAGCGAGUUACUCUAUGUAGCGAGGUUAAGCCGUCAGGUGGAGCCGUAGCGAAAGCGAGUCUGAAUAGGGCGAUUUAGUUGCAUGGAGUAGACCCGAAGCCAGGUGAUCUAUUCAUGGCCAGGGUGAAGCGCAUGUAACAGUGCGUGGAGGCCCGAACCGGUGUGGGUUGAAAACCGCUCGGAUGAGCUGUGAAUAGGGGUGAAAGGCCAAUCAAACUUGGAAAUAGCUGGUUCUCCCCGAAAUAUAUUUAGGUAUAGCCUUGUAACUUUAAGUACCGGAGGUAGAGCCAAACCCAACCAAACUCCGAAUGCCGGUAACUUCAAUUACAGGAGUCAGACUACGGGAGAUAAGUUCCGUGGUCGAGAGGGAAACAGCCCAGAUCGCCAGCUAAGGUCCCUAAUACAUGCUAAGUGGAGAAGGAUGUGGAAAUGUACAGACAACCAGGAGGUUGGCUUAGAAGCAGCCAUCCUUUAAAGAAAGCGUAAUAGCUCACUGGUCAAAUGAGUCUGCGCCGAAAAUGUAACGGGGCUCAAGCAUGUAACCGAAGCUGCGGACUUGCACCGCAAGGUGGGAGUGGUAGGGGAGCAUUCCAUUGUAGGUUGAAGCCGGACUGUAAGGACCGGUGGACGAAAUGGAAGAGAUUAUGCUGACAUAAGUAGCGAUAAAGCCUGUGAGAAACAGGCUCGCCGAAAACCCAAGGUUUCCUGAGUAAAGCUAAUCUUCUCAGGGUUAGUCGAUCCCUAAGCCGAGGCCGAAAGGCGUAGGCGAUGGGAAACAGGUUAAUAUUCCUGUACCACUAGAUCAGCGUUAUCAACGAUGGGGGGACGUAGAAGGGUAGGCCAUCCAGGUGUUGGACGCCCUGGUUCAAGCCCGUAGGGGGAGAUUCCAGGCAAAUCCGGAAUCUCAUUCAACUCCAAGAGGUGAUGAGGAGAGAUUUUAUCUCGUAAACUGGCUGAUCCCAUGCUACCAAGAAAAGCCUCUAGUGAGUUGAUCUGGUGAUCGUACCGUAAACCGACACAGGUAGGUAAGGAGAGUAUCCUAAGGCGCUUGAGUGAUUCCUCGUUAAGGAACUCGGCAAAAUUACACCGUAACUUCGGAAGAAGGUGUGCCCGCACGCGUGAAGCGAUACGCACGUCGAGCGCGAGUGGGUUGCAGUGAAAAGGCCCAAGCGACUGUUUAGCAAAAACACAGGUCUCUGCGAAGUCGUAAGACGAUGUAUAGGGACUGACGCCUGCCCGGUGCUGGAAGGUUAAGGGGAUUUGUUAGCCGCAAGGCGAAGCUUUGAACCGAAGCCCCNGUAAACGGCGGCCGUAACUAUAACGGUCCUAAGGUAGCGAAAUUCCUUGUCGGGUAAGUUCCGACCUGCACGAAUGGCGUAACGAUUUGNGCGCUGUCUUGACGAGGAGCUCAGCGAAUUUGAUAAACCGGUGAAGAAGCCGGUUACCCGCAACAAGACGGAAAGACCCCGUGCACCUUUACUAUAGCUUGACAAUGAAUUUCGGGCUGGUUUGUGUAGGAUAGGUGGGAGGCUAUGAAAUGGAGACGCUAGUUUUCAUGGAGCCAACCUUGAAAUACCACCCUGAUUAUUCUGAAAUUCUAACCUGGGCCCGUUAUCCGGGUCGGGGACAUUGUCUGGUGGGUAGUUUGACUGGGGCGGUCGCCUCCAAAAAGGUAACGGAGGCGCGCGAAGGUUCCCUCAGGCUGAUUGGAAACCAGCCGUAGAGUGUAAAGGCAUAAGGGAGCUUGACUGCGAGACUGACAAGUCUGCGAAAGCAGGUCUUAGUGAUCCGGUGGUUCCGCAUGGAAGGGCCAUCGCUCAACGGAUAAAAGGUACGCCGGGGAUAACAGGCUUAUCCCGCCCAAGAGUUCAUAUCGACGGCGGGGUUUGGCACCUCGAUGUCGGCUCAUCGCAUCCUGGGGCUGAAUAAGGUCCCAAGGGUUUGGCUGUUCGCCAAUUAAAGCGGUACGUGAGCUGGGUUCAGAACGUCGUGAGACAGUUCGGUCCCUAUCUGUUGUGGGCGCAGGAUAUUUGAGAGGAGCUGUCCCUAGUACGAGAGGACCGGGAUGGACGAACCGCUGGUGUUCCAGUUGUCAGGUGUGUAAACACAGUAAUGUGUUGAGCUUACUGAUACUAAUAGGCCGUGCGGCUUGACCAUAAUUAUUAUGGUUUCAUAAAUAAUGUUUCAAGAAGGCGUUCAUGAUAUGCAAUUGUUUUAAUACAUAAAGUAUUAUUUCGGUGGCUAUAGCGGAGAGGACACACCCGUUCCCAUCUCGAACAC
rnacentral:rRNA from 1 species